GAGCAGAACAAAGCCAUGGAGGGUCCAAGCUGCUGGCACCUGCCUGAAUUCCUUCUCCUGACCCUGUCCCAUGGAGGGACACGGAGCACAGCCCAGAGGCUGCAUCCCUGCAGGGCCCCUUCCCUUCAGGAAGAGCCUGAGUUGGAUCCGACCACUCCAGAGCACCAGCAAUGAAGAGGAAUUGAAAGGAAGAUGCGUCUCCUUGUCUUCUAGCCUGGCCAAAUGAAAACUGCGGCAUGAGAAGCUGUGAAAGACACAGUUUGUGGCCAUUCAUUCUGCCCAGGUGUCCUGGACAGAGGAAAUAUGUGAUGAACCAUAAAGCUAAAACCACACGAAGUGCAGGAAGUUCAGAGCUGAGCCUUUCCCAAAUGGGUGAGACAGACCCAGCAAACCUUACCUACCACAGCAUCCCCAGAGACCCAGCCCUGAUGCCCCCAUAGGCAAUAAAAAGCUGCCUGGUACCAAGAAAUCAGAAACUCUCUGUGUCCUUGGGACAUCUCAGCCACCAAAACCCUGAAACAGCAGCAGAUGUUGAGGUACUCCAGAGCAGAGUGAGGCUUUCAGCAGCAGCACAGCUCUUAAGGGAGGGGAGAAAACUCAUAUUCAAUCAAUUUCUAGGUUUUGAAGAGAAAGAACCAGGUUUCAGAUGGAGCCCUGACCUCCCAAAGAGCAGAGGGACAGAAGAAGGAUUGCAGCAGUCCCUGUGGUUCCCAAAGCCAUCCUUUCAAGGGGUAAGGGUUUCAAACUGACAGAAAGCAGGUUUAGGUUGGAUAUUAGGAAAGAAAGUCGUUACUGGGAAAGGAUCUUCCUUCUCACCCAGACAAAGCUGGGGCACACUGCAGUUGUUCCCUUGCUUGAUCCUCCAGUCUGUCCUUGCCCAUGGCAAAACCCACCUGCCCAGCCUGUGCUGAGCUGGGGCUGGGCUGCACUCCUGAUUGUCCCUGAUGUGCCGUCAGGCAGGGGCAAGAGGAGGACCUGGAGCUGCUGGGGAGAGUCCAGAGGAGGCAUCAGAGCUGCUUCAGGGCUGGAGCUCCUCUGGAGCCAGGCGGGGAGAGCUGGGGGUGCUCAGCUGGAGAGGAGAAGGCUCCAGGGAGAGCUGCGAGCCCCUUGCAGGCCUAAAGGGGCUCCAGGAGAGCUGCAGAGGGACUGGGGACAAGGGAUUCAGGGCCAGGACCCAGGCAAUGGCUUCCCAGUGCCAGAGGGCAGGGCUGGGUGGGAUCUUGGGCAGGAAUUGUUCCCUGGCAGGGUGGGCAGGGGCUGGCAUGGAAUUGCCCGUGGCAGGGGUGGCACUGGAUGAGCUUUGAGGUCCCUUCCAACCCAACCCAUUCCAGGAUUCUGUGAUUCCAUUUUUCACUUUGUGAGAGCUCUAACUUGAAUUUCCCUGCCUGUUUUAUUACACCUCUGAGGCUCCCAGCAUUCCCAUGGAUUCUGAAUGCCAAAUCCCUGAGUCCAGCACCACCAGCUGCUCUCAUCCCAGAGCCACAACAGGUUGUGUGUCAGAGCAGGGCCAGCACACAGUGACCCUCUCCUGAUCACCCACCACGACUCCUAACCCAGAUGUGCCUUGGAACCCAACAUCCUUUGGUGAAUUUUCCUCUUAUGAAUGUGCCUGUGGGGUUGGACAUUUCCACCAUGGUCUGCGUGAAGUGUCACCUCCUGCUGACCAUGGACGUGGCACCCACCAGCUCUGUGGGAAGGUCCUUGUGGAAAGAGAGAGGAUCCCACAGCAGCCACACCUGAUUUUCCUGUCUCCUGCCACCCAUCUCUCAGGAGAUCCACCAGAACUGCCCAGGCUUGAUGGCAGAGCCUCCCAGGGAUUCCCACAGGGAGAGACUGACAGCUGGGCUUUACAUUCCUGGUCUUUAUUCCCUUCAUAAUAAUUCCCAACACUUGAUUUGCU
rnacentral:lncRNA from 13 species